GGCCAGACUCCUACGGGAGGCAGCAGUGGGGAAUAUUGCACAAUGGGGGAAACCCUGAUGCAGCGACGCCGCGUGAGUGAAGAAGUAUUUCGGUAUGUAAAGCUCUAUCAGCAGGGAAGAAAAUGACAGUACCUGACUAAGAAGCCCCGGCUAACUACGUGCCAGCAGCCGCGGUAAUACGUAGGGGGCAAGCGUUAUCCGGAUUUACUGGGUGUAAAGGGAGCGUAGACGGCAGCGCAAGUCUGAAGUGAAAUCCCAUGGCUUAACCAUGGAACUGCUUUGGAAACUGUGCAGCGGGAGUGCAGGAGAGGUAAGCGGAAUUCCUAGUGUAGCGGUGAAAUGCGUAGAUAUUAGGAGGAACACCAGUGGCGAAGGCGGCUUACUGGACUGUAACUGACGUUGAGGCUCGAAAGCGUGGGGAGCAAACAGGAUUAGAUACCCCGGUACA
rnacentral:rRNA from 1 species